CAGUAGCCACGGUAAUACGAAGGGGGCUAGCGUUGCUCGGAAUUACUGGGCGUAAAGGGAGCGUAGGCGGACAUUUAAGUCAGGGGUGAAACCCCAGAGCUCAACUCUGGAACUGCCUUUGAUACUGGGUGUCUUGAGUGUGAUAGAGGUAUGUGGAACUCCGAGUGUAGAGGUGAAAUUCGUAGAUAUUCGGAAGAACACCAGUGGCGAAGGCGACAUACUGAUCAUUACUGACGCUGAGGCUCGAAAGCGUGGGGAGCAAACAGGAUUAGAUACCCCAGUAGUCCCUGUCUCUUAUACC
rnacentral:rRNA from 1 species